rnacentral:tRNA from 1 species
GGGGGUAUAGCUCAGUGGUAGAGCACAUACUUAGCAUGCAUGAGGUCCUGGGCCCAAUCCCUGGUACCACCA